GAAGUGGUGAUCCACGCAGGAAGUGACACAGCAAGGAGAUUCAUAAACAAGGGUAAGAAGGAAGUGGGCCCCUUUUCUCUUCCUCCUGGUCUCUGCUCUGGAGUUGCCAUGUGAUCCUUGGGCAAGAGAGGGCGCCAGCGGAAGGCAUCCUCUAUAAGAUAAGUCUUAUAAAACAUAUAGAUUUAUGAUAAUUAAGACUGAGCUAACAGAUGAGAAAUCCUAGUCUUUGGCCAAGCAGCAUUUGUACCUAAUAUAAGUCUCUGUAUAUUAUUUGGGGCCCUAACUUGGCAGGCAGAACUCAGGUGGCUGGCAGAAAGCGCCCACAUGGUGGUAGGGCUCGGGUGGCUUUUGGUGGAAAGAUUCAUUUUAACAGUAGUCAUUAUUUCUUUUACCAAAACUUCUGGUUAUAACUGAUUUUUGUGUAGUUCAGAAAAUUUGUUUUUGGAAGAUGGGUCAAUAUUUGUUGAACAUGUAAUGUGUUUGUGGUGAUAUUUUCAGUAUCUCCACAUCGAUACUAAUUUUUUCUGACAAUUCUGUGAAAUAAAUUCUAUAGCAUUCAUAUUUUCCAGAUGAAGAACAUGACAAAUUACAAAAUGAAAGUCUUCGGUCAUACAGCUAGAAUUCUUGAGUGUAUGCACAAAACUAAUUUCCAAUUCUCAUCUUGUUCAACAUUACUCAAAAAGAAAUUUUCCGAUCAAUUUUGCUAUGGUACUUUUGGUUCUUUGGAAGAAAAAGAUUGUUUUGUUCUUUUCAAAGUUGGUGCUUUAUGUUUGUGCUGGCUCUGUCCUGCUUAUCCUAGCUAGGAUCUGUUUCCUUGUCUAGUCUUGGUUACACAAGCUAAAUGACCUCUGCAAGCAACCCUUUCCCAGACUCUGCAGUCAACUUGAUUCUGGCCUGCAUAGAUCAUGAAUGGCAGGCCUUGGCUGCACUUAGAGGAUAGAUUAUAGGGAAAAGCCAGGUAUUUUUCUCCAGGGCCUGGCUAUCCCUGGCAUUAGAGAUGACACCAGGAGUAGCUGCUAAUUUCUGCAGGGCCUUCUGUGCUUCAAAGACCAAAAGUGUAUUCAUUGGUUUUUAUGAAUUAAAAUUUCUCUCUUUUAAAUGCUUAAAAUCAUUCUACUAUUAAUGUUGUCUCAUUCAGAGUUGAGGGAUCCAAUGUUGUAGCCAUACUCUUAAAGUAUUUUAAAAUUGUACAAACUUAAGUAUCCAAAUACAAAUGAAGGACUAUGCUUAUUAAAUCUACAAAAUUUUUAAGUGAAAAAUAUGAAUAUUUAGUAUUGCACUGAGGACUCAAGUCCUUCAGUGAAACAGCCAGGAUAUUAAGCAAAACACUUCUUUGUAAACAAUGCCUGUCAAGCCACUAAUAAAAUACAAUGAAUGUUGCA
rnacentral:lncRNA from 1 species